rnacentral:rRNA from 1 species
AUGAGUACCGAGUCCAAGAACGGGAGCGACAUCGACCCAGAGAACGUCAUCGCCGUCACACUCGACGAUCUCUUGGAAGAUGUUCGGCGCGAGCUUGAAGAGGAGCUUGAGAAAGAAAAGGUUGAGAGGUUGAAGCUCAAGUUGGCUGGGUACGCGAAGACGAGGAACGGCGUCAUCAAAAAGGUAGUUCCGAGCCCUUUCGAUGCUCAGGUGCAAUCGGCCAUCAAUGAAGGACGAUUGACGUUUACAGAAGGUCCUAAGAUGAAGCUCGACAGCGACCCUUUUCCUAUCAAUAUGGUCGAGCUUGAGAGUAAAAAAAUGCUUAUUCGGUCGGAUCAGACUGAGUCCGCAAGAGAGAAAAAUAUUGUUGAUAGUAGUGCUCCUCCAAGGAUGAUCAAACCAAAAAAUCCAGAAAUAGGAAUGUGGAAAGUCAACGGAGGAAGGAGACAAGCUCCAAGGCCAAAGCCGACAGUUAGCAUGUUGUUGAAAAAAUAUACCUCACGCAAGACCAACAAUGUGUUUAAUCGGCUCAGAGGUAAUAAGCGUCCUAGAUCUCCUUCUGGACCUCACAGUCAUGAGCAAUGGUAA